rnacentral:snRNA from 1 species
CUUUUAACCCUUUGUAAAUCUUU